UUAUUUAGUUAUUCAUUCCACACACUUGCCGACACGUUAUCCUGGGUGCCCAAGAGGUUCUUUUGAAUUUUAAGGGUUGGAUAAUGGGGCAGGUGGAGGCUCAAC
rnacentral:sRNA from 1 species